rnacentral:ncRNA from 1 species
UGUACGGAGAGUUUGAUCCUGGCUCAGGACGAACGCUGGCGGCGUGCUUAACACAUGCAAGUCGAACGGUGAUCUCGGUGCUUGCACCGGGUGAUCAGUGGCGAACGGGUGAGUAACACGUGAGCAACCUGCCCCUGACUCUGGGAUAACCCCGAGAAAUCGGAGCUAAUACCGGAUACGAGACGCACGGGCAUCCGUAGCGUCUGGAAAGAAUUUUGGUCAGGGAUGGGCUCGCGGCCUAUCAGCUUGUUGGUGGGGUAACGGCCCACCAAGGCGACGACGGGUAGCCGGCCUGAGAGGGCGACCGGCCACACUGGGACUGAGACACGGCCCAGACUCCUACGGGAGGCAGCAGUG